rnacentral:rRNA from 1 species
GACGAACCGUGCGAACGUUGUUCGGAAUCACUGGGCUUAAAAGGGCGCGUAGGCGGCUAGUCAAGUCAGGGGUGAAAUCUUUCGGCUCAACCGGAAAAGUGCCCUUGAUACUGACUGGCUCGAGGGAGGUAGGGGUAUGUGGAACUUCUGGUGGAGCGGUGAAAUGCGUUGAUAUCAGAAGGAACGCCGGUGGCGAAAGCGACGUACUGGACCUCUUCUGACGCUGAGGCGCGAAAGCUAGGGGAGCAAACGGG